rnacentral:rRNA from 1 species
UACAGAGGGUGCAAGCGUUAAUCGGAAUUACUGGGCGUAAAGCGCGCGUAGGUGGUUUGUUAAGUUGAAUGUGAAAUCCCCGGGCUCAACCUGGGAACUGCAUCCAAAACUGGCAAGCUAGAGUAUGGUAGAGGGUAGUGGAAUUUCCUGUGUAGCGGUGAAAUGCGUAGAUAUAGGAAGGAACACCAGUGGCGAAGGCGACUACCUGGACUGAUACUGACACUGAGGUGCGAAAGCGUGGGGAGCAAACAGGAGUAGAUACCCUGGUAGUCCACGCCGUAAACGAUGUCAACUAGCCGUUGGGAGUCUUGAACUCUUAGUGGCGCAGCUAACGCAUUAAGUUGACCGCCUGGGGAGUACGGCCGCAAGGUUAAA